GGGGAAACCCAGUGUGACUCGUCACACUAUCAUUAACUGAAUCCAUAGGUUAAUGAGGCGAACCGGGGGAACUGAAACAUCUAAGUACCCCGAGGAAAAGAAAUCAACCGAGAUUCCCCCAGUAGCGGCGAGCGAACGGGGAGGAGCCCAGAGCCUGAAUCAGCAUGUGUGUUAGUGGAAGCGUCUGGAAAGGCGCGCGAUACAGGGUGACAGCCCCGUACACAAAAGCGCAUGUGCUGUGAGCUCGAUGAGUAGGGCGGGACACGUGGUAUCCUGUCUGAAUAUGGGGGGACCAUCCUCCAAGGCUAAAUACUCCUGACUGACCGAUAGUGAACCAGUACCGUGAGGGAAAGGCGAAAAGAACCCCGGCGAGGGGAGUGAAAAAGAACCUGAAACCGUGUACGUACAAGCAGUGGGAGCACAGGUUUACCUGUGUGACUGCGUACCUUUUGUAUAAUGGGUCAGCGACUUAUAUUCUGUAGCAAGGUUAACCGAAUAGGGGAGCCGGAGGGAAACCGAGUCUUAAUUGGGCGUUAAGUUGCAGGGUAUAGACCCGAAACCCGGUGAUCUAGCCAUGGGCAGGUUGAAGGUUGGGUAACACUAACUGGAGGACCGAACCGACUAAUGUUGAAAAAUUAGCGGAUGACCUGUGGCUGGGGGUGAAAGGCCAAUCAAACCGGGAGAUAGCUGGUUCUCCCCGAAAGCUAUUUAGGUAGCGCCUCGUGAAUUCAUCUCCGGGGGUAGAGCACUGUUUCGGCUAGGGGGCCAUCCCGGCUUACCAACCCGAUGCAAACUGCGAAUACCGGAGAAUGUUAUCACGGGAGACACACGGCGGGUGCUAACGUCCGUCGUGAAGAGGGAAACAACCCAGACCGCCAGCUAAGGUCCCAAAGUCAUGGUUAAGUGGGAAACGAUGUGGGAAGGCCCAGACAGCCAGGAUGUUGGCUUAGAAGCAGCCAUCAUUUAAAGAAAGCGUAAUAGCUCACUGGUCGAGUCGGCCUGCGCGGAAGAUGUAACGGGGCUAAACCAUGCACCGAAGCUGCGGCAGCGAACGUAUCACUUAAAGCGAUUCAGCGGGUUACGAUUGACGGAGCGAAGCGACGUCAAAGCGUAUACAAAGUCGAGUCGGUUUAAGGAUACGUUCGUUGGGUAGGGGAGCGUUCUGUAAGCCUGUGAAGGUGGCCUGUGAGGGUUGCUGGAGGUAUCAGAAGUGCGAAUGCUGACAUAAGUAACGAUAAAGCGGGUGAAAAGCCCGCUCGCCGGAAGACCAAGGGUUCCUGUCCAACGUUAAUCGGGGCAGGGUGAGUCGACCCCUAAGGCGAGGCCGAAAGGCGUAGUCGAUGGGAAACGGGUUAAUAUUCCCGUACUUGGUGUUACUGCGAAGGGGGGACGGAGAAGGCUAUGUUGGCCGGGCGACGGUUGUCCCGGUUUAAGCGUGUAGGUGUGUGUUCCAGGUAAAUCCGGUUCACUUUAACACUGAGGCGUGACGACGAGGCACUACGGUGCUGAAGCAACAAAUGCCCUGCUUCCAGGAAAAGCCUCUAAGCAUCAGGUAACAUCAAAUCGUACCCCAAACCGACACAGGUGGUCAGGUAGAGAAUACCAAGGCGCUUGAGAGAACUCGGGUGAAGGAACUAGGCAAAAUGGUGCCGUAACUUCGGGAGAAGGCACGCUGACACGUAGGUGAAGUGAUUUACUCAUGGAGCUGAAGUCAGUCGAAGAUACCAGCUGGCUGCAACUGUUUAUUAAAAACACAGCACUGUGCAAACACGAAAGUGGACGUAUACGGUGUGACGCCUGCCCGGUGCCGGAAGGUUAAUUGAUGGGGUCAGCGCAAGCGAAGCUCCUGAUCGAAGCCCCGGUAAACGGCGGCCGUAACUAUAACGGUCCUAAGGUAGCGAAAUUCCUUGUCGGGUAAGUUCCGACCUGCACGAAUGGCGUAAUGAUGGCCAGGCUGUCUCCACCCGAGACUCAGUGAAAUUGAACUCGCUGUGAAGAUGCAGUGUACCCGCGGCAAGACGGAAAGACCCCGUGAACCUUUACUAUAGCUUGACACUGAACAUUGAGCCUUGAUGUGUAGGAUAGGUGGGAGGCUUUGAAGCGUGGACGCCAGUCUGCGU
rnacentral:rRNA from 1 species